GACGACAUAUAUUAACUUGGAAAGAUUAUGUACUCUGCAAGUACAAGGUGGGCGGUUAGCUCUGUCGUUG
rnacentral:tRNA from 1 species